AGUGAACGCUGGCGGUAGGCCUAACACAUGCAAGUCGAACGGCAGCACAGUAAGAGCUUGCUCUUACGGGUGGCGAGUGGCGGACGGGUGAGGAAUACAUCGGAAUCUACUUUUUCGGGGGGGAUAACGUAGGGAAACUUACGCUAAUACCGCAUACGACCUACGGGUGAAAGCAGGGGAUCUUCGGACCUUGCGCGAUUGAAUGAGCCGAUGUCGGAUUAGCUAGUUGGCGGGGUAAAGGCCCACCAAGGCGACGAUCCGUAGCUGGUCUGAGAGGAUGGUCAGCCACACUGGAACUGGAACACGGUCCAGACUCCUACGGGAGGCAGCAGUGGGGAAUAUUGGACAAUGGGCGCAAGCCUGAUCCAGCCAUACCGAGUGGGUGAAGAAGGCCUUCGGGUUGUAAAGACCUUUUGUUGGGAAAGAAAAGCAGCAGGUUAAUACCCCGCUGUUCUGACGGUACCCAAAGAAUAAGCACCGGCUAACUUCGUG
rnacentral:rRNA from 1 species